rnacentral:piRNA from 1 species
UGGAUAAGGUGGAGGAUGGUUGCAUAGGC